rnacentral:rRNA from 1 species
AGCCUGAUGCAGCGACGCCGCGUGAGGGAUGACGGCCUUCGGGUUGUAAACCUCUUUCACCAGGGACGAAGCGUGAGUGACGGUACCUGGAGAAGAAGCACCGGCCAACUACGUGCCAGCAGCCGCGGUAAUACGUAGGGUGCGAGCGUUGUCCGGAAUUACUGGGCGUAAAGAGCUCGUAGGCGGUUUGUCGCGUCGUCUGUGAAAUUCUGCAACUCAAUUGCAGGCGUGCAGGCGAUACGGGCAGACUUGAGUACUACAGGGGAGACUGGAAUUCCUGGUGUAGCGGUGAAAUGCGCAGAUAUCAGGAGGAACACCGGUGGCGAAGGCGGGUCUCUGGGUAGUAACUGACGCUGAGGAGCGAAAGCGUGGGUAGCGAACAGGAUUAGAUACCCUGGUAGUCCACGCCGUAAACGGUGGGUACUAGGUGUGGGUUCCUUUUCACGGGAUCCGUGCCGUAGCUAACGCAUUAAGUACCCC